rnacentral:rRNA from 1 species
GAGAGGUGCUGCAUGGCUGUCGUCAGCUCGUGUUGUGAAAUGUUGGGUUAAGUCUCGCAACGAGCGCAACCCCUAUCGUCUGUUGCCAGCAUUAAGUUGGGCACUCUGGCGAGACUGCCUGGGUUAACCAGGAGGAAGGUGGGGAUGACGUCAAGUCCUCAUGGCCCUUAUGUCUAGGGCUACACACGUAAUACAAUGGCAUGUACAGAGGGAUGCGAACUCGCGAGGGGGAGCAAAUCUCAAAAAGCAUGUCUCAGUCCGGAUUGGAGUCUGCAACUCGACUCCAUGAAGUUGGAAUCGCUAGUA